rnacentral:tRNA from 1 species
UUAAUGGUGGCAGAAUUUAUGCCUUAGUUUUAAGAGCUAAUUAUGAAUUCCCAUUAAA